rnacentral:rRNA from 1 species
AACGCGAAGAACCUUACCAGCCCUUGACAUCCCUGUCGCGGGAACGAGAGAUCGAUCCCUUCAGUUCGGCUGGACAGGAGACAGGUGCUGCAUGGCUGUCGUCAGCUCGUGUCGUGAGAUGUUGGGUUAAGUCCCGCAACGAGCGCAACCCUCGCCCUUAGUUGCCAUCAUUAAGUUGGGCUCUCUAAGGGGACUGCCGGUGAUAAGCCGCGAGGAAGGUGGGGAUGACGUCAAGUCCUCAUGGCCCUUACGGGCUGGGCUACACACGUGCUACAAUGGCGGUGACAAUGGGACGCAAUGGGGCAACCCUGCGCAAAUCUCAAAAAGCCGUCUCAGUUCGGAUUGUGCUCUGCAACUCGAGCACAUGAAGUUGGAAUCGCUAGUAAUCGUGGAUCAGCACGCCACGGUGAAUACGUUCCCGGGCCUUGUACACACCGCUAGUC